GCCCGGGUGGCGGAAUUGGUUUACGCGCACGACUCAAAAUCGUGUGGGGUUUAUCCCCGUGAGGGUUCGAGUCCCUCCCCGGGCA
rnacentral:tRNA from 1 species